ensembl:lncRNA
CGUCGCUGCGCAGGUGGGAGCGCAAAGGAAAGCACCGAGACGUGCGAGUGGCCAGGCGCGCUCCUCUCCGCGCGGUCGGAGCCGGGGGCUGAAGACCACUCGGCAGAGAGCCCCGCGGCAUCGGGGGCACCGUACUCUUUUGUUUGUUUGUCGUCGUUGUUGUGUAUUUCCUAAAGAACAAAACACAGACCCGAAGCGUACCCCGGGGAUUAACGUGUGAGCAAAACUGCCUGCGUUUAUCGACAGCGUAUCUUAACUGAUGCCACCUCGUAGCGCUGUAAAUAAAAAGUCUGCAUAAUACCGUGAAGAUUCCAUCUUUUAGAGUACUCGGAAUCUGAUGUGUUUGAGUUCUGUCCCAAAAAACCUCUCGGAGAAUCAGACAGCUUGUGAAUGCAGCAGCUUGGAAUUCAGGUCUUCCUGCGCAGGUCUUCCCCUGCUCCUUUCCAGAGCUUUAAGGACACUGACCCUGCCUCCAAACCCAGGAGAUCUGCCUCUUAAACGCUACUGGCACAGCCGGCACGGGGAGCAGGAGGGGUUCGCAUUGACAGGAUUCCAGGCAAAAGCCGGAGUUAAAGAGCACAGCGGCCCCUUCCUCCUUGGUUCUCAUCUAUUUAAAACUGCUCUAAAAUAGAUCUUUUAAAUAGAUGAGAGACGGGAGCUUUCUGUAGCUGCAGAGUAAGGGAGCCACAUCGACAACAAAGGCUCCCGCCUCUGUGCCUCAGUGCCCUGAGCUCAAACCGCUGCUCGAGGAGAAAAUGGCACCGGGGGCUCAAAAAUCCCCACGGGGCUACACUGGAGCCUGAGCUCCAGAGGUUCGGAAGGAAACUGAAGAAGAAGUAGAUCCACCUUGAAAAUAACUCAGAAAUGAGCUGCUGAGACCGCUGGCUCCUCCCUCGGCGAAUGUGUACGUCUGCGGUGUUGUCUUUAACACCCCGAUCAGCUGAACUGCUCACUCUUCCAACGGAUGAUUACUGUCAAUCCUAAGCACGCCAAAUAUUUUUACAGUGUUUGGGGAACCAAAAAAAAAAAAUACCUUGAAACCAGAGAAGUGGUGAGAAGACUGAGUGAGCGGCGUGACACUGAUGUGGUGCUCGGGAUUGCUGCUCUGCACAAGGCCGCUGUCCUUCAGAAGUUUUCCGGCAUGAGAUCACGACUACUUGUGUGGCUGGGUUUGUUGUACAGAGGGCAAAAGCUGCAUCAUUCCACAGCAGGAGCCGAGUGCUUUUAAGAAAUGUUGGCUUUAAGUCACGUCACGCAGAGGGCAAGGGCGGUGUAUCACCGGCUACUGUGCAGCAAAUGGUGAGGGACCGCAAGAGAAACAGAUCCACGAAGGUGGAUGCCUUGCAAACAGUGAUCCGGGUUCAGAAACGCUACUGAAAAAAUUUAUUCUCCAGAAUGGCAAGUUUGAUGAUUCCCAGCGAGGUAACUUGCAAGAGUUUUUCAAGCAGAGGUGAUUUAACAGCAACUGCAAUUGCGAAAAUGAGAAAUUAUGACUGCCAACUAUUGGAACUGAGAGAAACCCCCUCCAAUAGAGAGAAUCUGAACAAGGACCAUAUGCAAGCAACACAUGAGGAUUACCUUCUGCUCUGUUCAGGAGAAACUGGGGAGUUUUGCUUAAUUUAUGCAUAUUUUAGGCUGCUGUAAAGAGCUCUGAUCAGCAGCUUUGGAUACUGUAAGGGUAAUACAGUGACCCUCAACUUAGCCACAGAGGCUGCUCAGGAGAGGCUAUCUCUAGGUGUGAGCUGAGGAAGCACCUGCCAACAGGCUGCUUUGGUCAGGAAAAUCCUCCGGCACAUUGAAUAUACCUACCUGAUCGGAAUGCUCAGAAGGCUUCACAGCAGACAACGAAGAAAAAAAAUGCUUUGGUUAUCACAGAAGAACUUUGUGGAGGGUGAGAGGAAAGGAAGAAAUUGCCUACGAACAGACACUGGAGAGUGUUUUCUUCAGAGGACUACAGCUCCCAGAUGCUUCUGCUCCUUUCUGCUGCUCUAAGUUCUGCAGUUACUCAUCACUUGACUCUAAGCUGUUCCAGUCUGUUAUUCUGUAUCACAAUACAUGUUGAAUUGGUGGCAUCACAUUCCAUUCCAGCAAAAGUGACUGAAAACCCUUCCUGUCUCAUAGGCAGUGGGUGUUCUACUUUUCUUUCAAGUCCCCCUUUCUUCUCCCCUUCUCCCUCUGCCUCUCUUCACUCCACCAUGCAGUCACCACUUCUGCCAUCCCUGAGCAGCCAUGCAAGACAAGCACAAACUGUCUGGAGGGCUGAAAAUGGAAGACGCAGCAGAUGGAAACACCAAAAUCAUCCUUUUCUGUAGGCUCUCUGAAAGCAGAGAUGCAAGAGAAUUUUGUACACUGCUUUUUUGGUUUUCUUUUCCUUUUUUUUUUUCUUUUUGUGACUUGACACAGAUAUACCUGCUCGAUCUGGAUGCUCAGAAGGCUCCACAGCAGACAAUGAAGAAAACAUGUAGCUGUAGAUGUCCCUGUUUAUUGCAGGGCAGUUGGACUAGAUAACCUUUAAAGGUCCCUUCCAACGUAAACAAUUCUACGAUUGUAUGACUUCUGAGAUUUCUAACUGAUUUUAAAACUUUAAGUGAUCUUUAUGCUGUUAGUAAAUUCUUUUAAAAUUAUAAGGAAGUAGUGCUACAUAAAGUGAAACUGUCAAAGACUUCACACAUUGAUUUGGCAAGCUAGGAUUGUCAGCAGUACUCACCUGUAUGUCACAACCAGGGACACCUGUUAGAAAGAGAGGUGCCACCGCUGUGUUAACACACACGUAGAUGACUGUAUCACCAAGGAGGCUGUGCAGCCUGAGACCUGCCACAGUCAUGCUGGGCUUAAGUGGGAAUUUGUUGAAAAGAAGAUAAUGGGUGGUUCUGGGCACCACUGAGGCAUAUGCAGGGCAGUAAAGUAGACAAUGGCAAUCUUAGAGACCCAGAGAUGCAACAGACCAUCCAUCUCUGGUCAUUUCUGUCACAUGAAAAAGCAAACUUAAGUAAUCUCUGAAUUUUCUGAGCAUGGACAGCAUCUCAGAAAAAAUCACAAAUGCUGAACAAUUCUGAAGUAUGUUUUAACUCUGUUGGAUUUCUGAUCAAGAAUUGAAGUACAAAGAUACAUUGCUAUCCUUUUCAGAUCAACAGAAACACCCCAAGCAUUGCCAGAGAAGUGAGUGCCCCUGGGGUUACAAAUGGAGGUGCAGAACAGAAACUUGGGCACAGCAAGCAGGGAGGGACUUUAGGAGUUUGGGACAAGCAGGCAGCAAGGUAAGAGCUUUCAGGAUGUUUUCCUAUCUCCUACCUUAAGCACCUCUGUCAUGUGCAGGGUUGAGUCUAAAGCUCCAAGUUUACAGCAAUAUCCAGCAUGUGUUAUCAGAUAGGAAUGCUUCUCCUUCAAAUCUAACCAUCUGUAUUUGUGGCUGCGAAUACUUUUAUCUGAAUUAUUUUAUCUGUAAAUAUUCUCCCAAAUUGUUUUCAAGGAAUAAAUAAUAUGAAGCACUACAUCUCUGAAAAAUCCAAACGAAUCCAGCAAUUGUUUAGUAAAGGCUAAGUGCUUUUCAUGAGAACAUUUAAGAUAAAGGAAUAUAUGUACUUCUCUUCCUGUUUAUAAUAUGAUUCAGAGUUCAUUAAAGGAACUGGGAAUAGCACAGAAAAGGUGUUAAAAGGUGACAGUUAAAAGGCGAUAGUACCAGAGAUCAAUUGAUUGCAGGUUUCACAGAGAAAAUAUUAGGAAGUUCUGUGUGCCCAUAAGGUUCAAUUGAAGUGUGUGAAGAUCAGUCACUCCAACAGUUAUCCUAAAUUCUCAAAAUAAAAAUGUCAUCACAACAAUUUCUUAAAUAGUUUUCUGCCUUUUCCUUCUCUUCCUAGAUGGAGAAUUUCCAUCAAAAUAUGUUGCUUAUUUAAGCCUUCAUUUUUAUGCUGAUUCUACAUGCUAGAAAGGAGAAAACAAAUAUUAAGCGCGUUUUUCAAAAUGACACAGAAGAGACAGAGCCAAGUUAGUUAUCUUCAUGAUCUCAGCAAAAUGGCAGGG